rnacentral:rRNA from 1 species
UACGUAGGGUGCGAGCGUUGUCCGGAAUUAUUGGGCGUAAAGGGCUCGUAGGCGGUUUGUCACGUCGGGAGUGAAAACUCGGGGCUUAACCCCGAGCCUGCUUUCGAUACGGGCAGACUGGAGGUAUGCAGGGGAGAACGGAAUUCCUGGUGUAGCGGUGAAAUGCGCAGAUAUCAGGAGGAACACCGGUGGCGAAGGCGGUUCUCUGGGCAUGUCCUGACGCUGAGGAGCGAAAGUGUGGGGAGCGAAGCAGG